AUCCUGCGCUGUGCACUCUGUGCUCCCAUUUUCAUAUCUCCCUUUAUCUCUGCCUGGCGCCCUUGUCGGAAACUUGCCGCGGUGCCGGUGAAUCUGCUCGCAGCGCCAUGCCGAUAGAGUCGGCGAUGAGUGAAGUGCACACGGACUUCAGGGGCUGCAGCCUGCUGCCUGACUUCGCGGCUGUGGCAGACGUCUCGGAGCGCACCGGGGUAGGGUACUUGCAGUACAGCAAUGGCGCCAUCUACGAAGGCGAAUGGCUAAAUGGCGAACGCCACGGCCUUGGGGUGUGCUACUACCCUUCCGGCAACAUCUUCGUCGGCCAGUUCCGCUCAGGGCUGAUGGAGGGGCCGGGCACGAUGUUCUUCGCGACGGGCGAGUGUUUCAGCGGCGAGUUCAGGGACUCGACCAUCUACAAGGGUGUCUACAGCCGUCAAGGGCGCGAGAUCUGUGGUGUCUGGAAAGACGGCAAUCGAGUGAGUGAGAUGCCCACCAAAGCACCCGAGGUACUCCAGCGUGCCCGCGCAGCCCUCUUCGCGACCAUUGUAGAGCAAGUCAACGAGUACCUCUGGGGAGCUGCAAACAAUCCAACAAAACUCGUGCUCUCUGCACCGCCCGAAGGCGCGGCACUGAAGGCACCUCUUGACAUCCUCAGUUCUAGCACGGACGCGCACGGCACACCCAAAACGCCACCACAGCACCUCACUGUGAUACCUACCUUCGAUGCAGGAAAUCAGAGUUUCACGAGCGUCCGAUUCCGCCCUAACGCGUCCCUUGCGGACGGCGACGCGAAGAGCAGCACGCAUGGCACCGUCACACAGUACGGCUCCCCUGCCACAGUUUUCGCCUGCGCGGCGCCGGCCCCAAACGAGAUCUUUUCCGUCUGGCGCUUCACGCUGCGCUGCUUCGUCUUUCUCUUUCCUUUUUUGUCACUGCCGUGGGUGCCGGUGGCCCCGCUGCGCAUCACAUCGCUGCACGAGGAGAGAGAGUUCGUAGUGAGUGGGGCUGCGCUGCGCAGCGACUUCGACGCACCUUCGUUCUCUAUGUGCGUCAUUGCUGUUGGAAUGCUGUGCCAGAUCGUCGCCAUCAUUCUUGUGGCUUCCCGGGUUCCGCUGGGGAAAGUGCAAGAUGGCAAGCUGACACUGCCGGAGAUGGUCGUGCCCUGUGUGCUGUGGCUCCUUGUCGCACUGGUGAAAGCGUCCUACAUAAGCUUCUUCCGAUUUCCACACGGGCUGGAGAGGGUUGACCGGCGGCUUACACCGAAGCUGUCGGCCCUGGCGGCGAGCCUGGUCGAUGCAAAGUCGAGCGUCUGCAUCUUUACCUACGACGACGAUGGCAAAGGCAAGGUGAUGAACCGACACUACAAGUACCGCUGGCUGCUCUUCGGCGUCGUGUUGGGCUUGUUGAUGAGCCUCUCCGCACCGGCGACGCGCGGCGGGUAUGGGCACAAUAUGUUCGGCUCUAACGGCUUCCAACUGACAGCCGCCCUUCUCGCCUUCUUCGCGACGUUUUUAUUUGCGGCGACGCUGACGUUUUCGGUGCUCAAGAUCACAGACAUGCAGCGCGAAAUCCGGGCGAAGCUGCACGUACUGACGAACCUCGCCUUUUUAGAGCGCCGAUGCCUCAUGAGCCCCAGUAAACAUGCGAGCAUCGCCUUCGAUCUCGACGAAAGCUUCAAUGCCAAGAACGUGUUCAGCGGCUUUCCAGGCUGGUACAGUCUACGCUCCCUCAUCCUCUACGCCUCUGCGUGCGCCAAUCACCGCGCGCGCACCACCGCGAUGCGCGUUUUCUGGUUCGCGCUCGUGUGCGCCUUCAUUGUGGGCAUCGCCGACACACUUCUGAUGAUCCAAAACAACAGGCCCGGCGAUCAGUACUACUCCACCGCCCACUCCUACGCGUUCUUCACCUUUCUCUUCUGGGGCGCGUUGCUGCACCGUUACCUGUACGUGUGCAUUUCCACCCGCCGCGAGCUGCAGCACCAUCUGUACAUCAUGGACAUCGCCGGGCUGUAUCACCGUGUGAAGCUGAGUGACUCGGAGGCCGGCGACAUCAUUCAGCAGUGUCGCUGCAUCUCCGAGAGCAACGACGCAGAGCCGGAGAUAUUCCCUGUGAUGAUCUACUGCUUUGUGGUCUUCUUGACGGUCAUUCUGAACUUAGCGGCCAUGACAGCCAUCUGCUACCAGCUAGGUCGGGCCAUCUACCGCUGAGCGUCGGACUGUGCGUGGACGGGUGGUGGGAGGGGCUCGGAGAAAGACGCGUGAGGAAUGCUGCCGCUUGGAUGAGGACGCAGCGGCAGCGGUCGUCCUACACAUGCGUCAGUUUGUAGAUGACGGGUAAGGCACGCGCUCUUGUGCGCACAUGUGUUUUGGGUCUUUCCAAAGAUCUCGGCGGAUGCUGCAUGCAUGCUCGGACAGGCCUUCCCCACCCCUCGCCUCCCUCGCAAGUGCCACCACACACCGUAUCCCCGCUCCCCCGUUGCUGUUCUCCUUUGGUACCCCUUUGGUUCUGCCCCCCCCCCCCCCCCCCCCCCCACCUCUCACUCGUCGCUGCAUCCUACCAUUCAAUGUACCGUAGAGCCGUGGGGUGCCUGCCAGCGGCUUCGCACAGUGUCCCUGACGACGCUGGGCCUCCUGCAACGUAGACAUUGCCGAUGGGUAGUGAGGGAGGAAGCACAAGAGACGAGUGCGCCCCAAAAGACAACAUUCGAGAGGUUCCCACUGCGCAUAGUAAUCGACGCAUGCAGCAAAAAAGAAAACGUUGAGACGAGAACGCACAAGGAGAGAGCAGCGAGCGACAUCAGAGACGGCCACUCGCUCUCAGCUGCACCGCCAUGCCCGCAUCGCACGGGAGCCACCCGCUUCCCGUUGUCUUCUUUCUUUUGACGGCCUCAUGGAGGCUACAGCGAGCCGUAUGCACCGUGGCGCCCGCAUCAGGCACGACGCACCCGUUCUUCCCUCCCCCUCCCCUCGGCAACAACGGAUGGGCACAUGCGUAAUCGGAAAAGGCCACUCGCGAGCAGCUCCCUGUCUUCUCUCCUCUCCCCACGUGGCGGCUACUCGCAG
rnacentral:misc_RNA from 1 species